rnacentral:rRNA from 1 species
UACGUAGGGUGCAAGCGUUGUCCGGAAUUAUUGGGCGUAAAGAGCCCGUAGGCGGCUUGUUGCGUCGGCUGUGAAAUCCCGGGCUUAACUCCGGGCGUGCAGCCGAUACGGGCAGGCUAGAGUCCGGUAGGGGAGACUGGAAUUCCUGGUGUAGCGGUGAAAUGCGCAGAUAUCAGGAGGAACACCGGUGGCGAAGGCGGGUCUCUGGGCCGGUACUGACGCUAAGGAGCGAAAGCGUGGGGAGCGAACAGG